GCCAGUCUGUGUGAACCUGACACUCCUCCCUUUUCUGUCUCUGCUCAGCUUCAGCAAAAAGCUCCUGCUCCCCACCCCUAAAAAGAUGCAGCUAAUAUUUGGUCUCACAGUAUAACAGAUGUUAUAACCAACCUCUGCACCAGAUCAGUCCUCUUCAUGUCCAUGAGAACCUCCUUCAUCACCUCCACAGACUGUUGACCACACAUGUCCACCAUCACAUCUACCAUAUCGCUUCCACUGUCUACCCUCUGUAGUUGUCUCCAUGAGAUCUGUGGACGGCUCCUCUGGAAGAGACUGAACUGUAGAAACCACUUGAAGCUUUCUUGCUCCUCGUGGCUCAAAUCACUUGACUGGAGACACAAAGCCUGUGGGACUCCUAACAGCUCCUGGUCCCUGACUGACCUCAUCUGAGCAGAUGACCUCAGCUACUACGAGCCACUACUGCCAAAAACUUGAAUGAACCACCUGAUGUAAACAUGAUGAGAUGAUGAAGUAAGUGUAGAAACAGCCUUUUGGCCGUAGGUCUGAACCAUUAAAAACACAAUAUCUUGUCGGUCUGAUGUCUCCCAUGGCAACAUUACUGGGAUGACUGAGUCCCAAUGGCGGAUGUGAAAUUGACAGAGGACAUCUUUGAAAAUCUGAAGCUCCCUGUCACUGAGAUCAGCCAGUGUUUCCAGAAGCAGCUCUGUGACAGACGCCAUCGUUUCCACCUGAUUAAUGUGACAGAUGUUGUCUUUAUCUUACCUUUGGAUCCUGGGCUGACCUCUGACAGCCUCUGCACCAGAUCAGUCCUCUUCAUGUCCAUGAGAACCUCCUUCAUCACCUCCACAGACUGUUGACCACACAUGUCCACCACCACAUCCACCAUAUCGCUUCCACUGUCUACCCCCUGUAGUUCUCUCCAUGAGAUCUGUGGAUGGCUCCUCUGG